rnacentral:sRNA from 1 species
AGAGCCUCUGGAGAUUAUGACAAUGACUGUACAAAUCCUAUAACACCUCUUUGUACACAGCCUGACCAGGUUAUUAAAGGGGGUGCUAGUAUUAUUCAGUGCCACAUUCUUAAUGAUAAGAGACAUAUAUUAACCAAAGAUACCAAUAAUAAUGUGGCAUAUUGGGAUGUAUUGAAGGCAUGUAAAGUUGAAGAUCUGGGCAAAGUGGAUUUUGAAGAUGAAAUUAAGAAAAGAUUUAAAAUGGUGUAUGUGCCAAAUUGGUUCUCAGUAGACUUAAAAACAGGGAUGUUAACUAUUACUUUGGAUGAAAGUGAUUGUUUUGCUGCCUGGGUUUCUGCAAAAGAUGCUGGUUUCAGCAGCCCUGAUGGGUCAGAUCCAAAAUUGAAUUUAGGAGGACUUUUACUCCAAGCACUCCUGGAAUAUUGGCCUAGAACACAUGUGAAUCCAAUGGAUGAAGAGGAAAAUGAAGUAAACCAUGCUGGUUGAGGAAUCAUUGAGUCUCAUCGACUGAGGCUUACUCUGCUGAAGAUUCUCUGCUGGCCACCAGGAGUGAGCAACAAUG